AACGCGAAGAACCUUACCUGGGUUGAACUACGUGGGAAAAGCCGCAGAGAUGCGGUGUCCUUCGGGGUCCACGAUAGGUGGUGCAUGGCUGUCGUCAGCUCGUGUCGUGAGAUGUUGGGUUAAGUCCCGCAACGAGCGCAACCCUUGUCCUAUGUUGCCAGCGGGUAAAGCCGGGGACUCGUAGGAGACUGCCGGGGUCAACUCGGAGGAAGGUGGGGACGACGUCAAGUCAUCAUGCCCCUUAUGUCCAGGGCUGCAAACAUGCUACAAUGGCCGGUACAAAGGGCAGCUAAACCGCGAGGUCAAGCGAAUCCCAAAAAGCCGGUCUCAGUUCGGAUUGAAGUCUGCAACUCGACUUCAUGAAGCUGGAGUCGCUAGUAAUCCCGGAUCAACAACGCCCGGGUGAAUACGUUCCCGGGUCUUGACCACACCG
rnacentral:rRNA from 1 species